UACGUAGGGAGCAAGCGUUAUCCGGAUUUACUGGGUGUAAAGGGUGCGUAGGCGGCUUGGUAAGUCUAAAGUGAAAUUUCGGGGCUCAACCCCGGAGCUGCUUUGGAAACUGCCGAGCUAGAGUGUGGGAGAGGAAAGCGGAACUUUGAGUGUAGCGGUGAAAUGCGUAGAGAUUCAAAGGAACACCAGUAGCGAAGGCGGCUUUCUGGACCAUAACUGACGCUGAGGCACGAAAGCGUGGGGAGCAAACAGGAUUAGAUACCCGGGUAGUCCCUGAGCGGGCUGG
rnacentral:rRNA from 1 species